GUCUUCUUGGCUCAGUUGGUUAGAGCGCAGGUCUCAUAGCAAUAUGAUGUGGUCUCAUAACCACAGUAAUCCUGAGGUUGUGAGUUCGACCCUCACAGAGGACA